GAUAAUUCAUUGGAGACACCGAAACGUGUCAAUAAUUCAUUGGAUACGUUCUGUUUUGUUUUGUUUUUCCUUUUCCUUUUCUUCAUUAGCUCCUCUCUCCCGAUACGAACAAGAAAAAACUAUUCGCAUAAAUCGAUUUAUCAAAAUCAAGGAUCAUGGAAUUGGGGUUUUCUCGAGAGUGAAGGAUGAUCCAGAAAAGAACUUUCAAAGGAUUGAUUUGAACAAAUCAUGUGGCUUUCUUUCUUGAGACCUAGAGAUCGAUUCUCCUUAGCCGAACUCAGGAAAUCCGAGAAGAAGCAUGGGCGAGUGUCUGCUUUAUAACUUGAGGUUUUGUUCUUCUUUUGUUUUGUCUUCAGUUUCGUUUGUUUCUUUGUUCAUAACAGAGGUGUGUAAAUUCUCUCACUUUAGGAGUUUUGUUUUUACAUUGUACAAAGCUUAGUUAAAACAGUCUUGAUUUGCCUCUUCUCCUUUACCAGUGUCCAGUUUUGCUUCUGCAGCUCUGGUGAAGUCAACACCCUUUGAUGUCACGACAAUGCUAUGACCAGGACCUGCAAGUGCUUGUGAUUUCUCUCGCCUGCAACUUUGAUGUCACGGCAAUGCUAUGACCAGGACCUGCAAGUGCUUGUGAUUUCUCCCGCCUGCAACCAAACUCACCAGCUAGCAAGAAGUUUCAAACUAGCUUCCACGAGCCUCCACAUCUCCUUUUGAUAUCUUGGCGUUCUUCAUCUCCUAUACAUUUAAAGAUCACCCUCUUUUGGCAAAUGUCGAGAGCUGCAUCUCCUGUGAUUAUUGUUGUGUGUCUUCUUUACAUUUUCCUAACUAUUAAGUAUGGAUGUUAGACUUUAAACACAUGUUUUUAAAAAAAAUUAGACACCCAAAGAUGACUAAUGGGAGGACAAAAAUUAAAAACAAA